GAAAAGCCAUGCAUAAGUCAUUCAAUCCUUAGCCAAAUGAGGUGAUCCUAGACUUUUUAGAAAGGUGAGAUCAAGGGAAACAACUUUCAUGUUGAACAAAUUUACAUUUGAAGCUUGUAUCAUGGUGGAAUUUUAGGUGGAAGUUUGGAAAAUCAAACAUAAAUCAAAAUUUUCUAAGUACCAAGUCAAAGGUUCACUUCUUCCACCUUGAAUAACUUUUGGUCACACGUUUGACCUCAUUUGGAUUUGGCAUGACAGAGUUAUGCAUUUUAGAAGUUGAG
rnacentral:lncRNA from 1 species